rnacentral:rRNA from 2 species
GGGAGAAACCUUUGCAAUGUGCGCAAGCACGACAAGGUUAAUCCGAGUGAUUCCUGCUAAAGGAAUCUUUUGUUAGUUGUAAAACCACUGAUGAAUAAGGGGUGGGCAAGUUCUGGUGUCAGCCGCCGCGGUAAAACCAGCACCUCAAGUGGUCAGGAUGAUUAUUGGGCCUAAAGCAUCCGUAGCCAGCUUUGUUAGUUUUCGGUUAAAUCCACUCGCUCAACGAAUGGGCUGCCGGGAAUACUGCAAAGCUAGGGAGUGGGAGAGGUAGACGGUACUCGGUAGGAAGGGGUAAAAUCCUUUGAUCUAUUGAUGACCACCUGUGGCGAAGGCGGUCUACCAGAACACGUCCGACGGUGAGGGAUGAAAGCGU